rnacentral:rRNA from 1 species
UAUUGAUUCUGGACGCAGUCUGAACCAGCCAUGCCGCGUGGAGGAUGAAGGUCCUCUGGAUUGUAAACUUCUUUUAUCUGGGACGAAAAAAGGGAAUUCUUUCUCGUCUGACGGUACCAGAUGAAUAAGCACCGGCUAACUCCGUGCCAGCAGCCGCGGUAAUACGGAGGGUGCAAGCGUUAUCCGGAUUCACUGGGUUUAAAGGGUGCGUAGGCGGGUAUGUAAGUCCGUGGUGAAAUCUCCGAGCUUAACUCGGAAACUGCCAUGGGUACUGCGUAUCUUGAAUGUUGUGGAGGUGAGCGGAAUAUGUCAUGUAGCGGUGAAAUGCUUAGAUAUGACAUAGAACACCAAUUGCGAAGGCAGCUCACUACACAAAUAUUGACGCUGAGGCACGAAAGCGUGGGGAUCAAACAGGAUUAGAUACCCUGGUAGUCCACGCCCUAAACGAUGAUUACUCGACAUACGCGAUACACAGUGUGUGUCUGAGCGAAAGCAUUAAGUAAUCCACCUGGGAAGUACGACCGCAAGGUUGAAACUCAAAUGAAUUGACGG